rnacentral:rRNA from 1 species
UUAAGCGACUAAGCGUACACGGUGGAUGCCCUGGCAGUCAGAGGCGAUGAAGGACGUGCUAAUCUGCGAUAAGCGUCGGUAAGGUGAUAUGAACCGUUAUAACCGGCGAUUUCCGAAUGGGGAAACCCAGUGUGUUUCGACACACUAUCAUUAACUGAAUCCAUAGGUUAAUGAGGCGAACCGGGGGAACUGAAACAUCUAAGUACCCCGAGGAAAAGAAAUCAACCGAGAUUCCCCCAGUAGCGGCGAGCGAACGGGGAGGAGCCCAGAGCCUGAAUCAGUAUGUGUGUUAGUGGAAGCGUCUGGAAAGGCGCGCGAUACAGGGUGACAGCCCCGUACACAAAAAUGCACAUGCUGUGAGCUCGAUGAGUAGGGCGGGACACGUGGUAUCCUGUCUGAAUAUGGGGGGACCAUCCUCCAAGGCUAAAUACUCCUGACUGACCGAUAGUGAACCAGUACCGUGAGGGAAAGGCGAAAAGAACCCCGGCGAGGGGAGUGAAAAAGAACCUGAAACCGUGUACGUACAAGCAGUGGGAGCACGCUUAGGCGUGUGACUGCGUACCUUUUGUAUAAUGGGUCAGCGACUUAUAUUCUGUAGCAAGGUUAACCGAAUAGGGGAGCCGAAGGGAAACCGAGUCUUAACUGGGCGUUAAGUUGCAGGGUAUAGACCCGAAACCCGGUGAUCUAGCCAUGGGCAGGUUGAAGGUUGGGUAACACUAACUGGAGGACCGAACCGACUAAUGUUGAAAAAUUAGCGGAUGACUUGUGGCUGGGGGUGAAAGGCCAAUCAAACCGGGAGAUAGCUGGUUCUCCCCGAAAGCUAUUUAGGUAGCGCCUCGUGAAUUCAUCUCCGGGGGUAGAGCACUGUUUCGGCAAGGGGGUCAUCCCGACUUACCAACCCGAUGCAAACUGCGAAUACCGGAGAAUGUUAUCACGGGAGACACACGGCGGGUGCUAACGUCCGUCGUGAAGAGGGAAACAACCCAGACCGCCAGCUAAGGUCCCAAAGUCAUGGUUAAGUGGGAAACGAUGUGGGAAGGCCCAGACAGCCAGGAUGUUGGCUUAGAAGCAGCCAUCAUUUAAAGAAAGCGUAAUAGCUCACUGGUCGAGUCGGCCUGCGCGGAAGAUGUAACGGGGCUAAACCAUGCACCGAAGCUGCGGCAGCGACGCUGAUGCGUUGUUGGGUAGGGGAGCGUUCUGUAAGCCUGCGAAGGUGUGCUGUGAGGCAUGCUGGAGGUAUCAGAAGUGCGAAUGCUGACAUAAGUAACGAUAAAGCGGGUGAAAAGCCCGCUCGCCGGAAGACCAAGGGUUCCUGUCCAACGUUAAUCGGGGCAGGGUGAGUCGACCCCUAAGGCGAGGCCGAAAGGCGUAGUCGAUGGGAAACAGGUUAAUAUUCCUGUACUUGGUGUUACUGCGAAGGGGGGACGGAGAAGGCUAUGUUGGCCGGGCGACGGUUGUCCCGGUUUAAGCGUGUAGGCUGGUUUUCCAGGCAAAUCCGGAAAAUCAAGGCUGAGGCGUGAUGACGAGGCACUACGGUGCUGAAGCAACAAAUGCCCUGCUUCCAGGAAAAGCCUCUAAGCAUCAGGUAACAUCAAAUCGUACCCCAAACCGACACAGGUGGUCAGGUAGAGAAUACCAAGGCGCUUGAGAGAACUCGGGUGAAGGAACUAGGCAAAAUGGUGCCGUAACUUCGGGAGAAGGCACGCUGAUAUGUAGGUGAAGUCCCUCGCGGAUGGAGCUGAAAUCAGUCGAAGAUACCAGCUGGCUGCAACUGUUUAUUAAAAACACAGCACUGUGCAAACACGAAAGUGGACGUAUACGGUGUGACGCCUGCCCGGUGCCGGAAGGUUAAUUGAUGGGGUCAGCGCAAGCGAAGCUCUUGAUCGAAGCCCCGGUAAACGGCGGCCGUAACUAUAACGGUCCUAAGGUAGCGAAAUUCCUUGUCGGGUAAGUUCCGACCUGCACGAAUGGCGUAAUGAUGGCCAGGCUGUCUCCACCCGAGACUCAGUGAAAUUGAACUCGCUGUGAAGAUGCAGUGUACCCGCGGCAAGACGGAAAGACCCCGUGAACCUUUACUAUAGCUUGACACUGAACAUUGAGCCUUGAUGUGUAGGAUAGGUGGGAGGCUUUGAAGUGUGGACGCCAGUCUGCAUGGAGCCGACCUUGAAAUACCACCCUUUAAUGUUUGAUGUUCUAACGUUGACCCGUAAUCCGGGUUGCGGACAGUGUCUGGUGGGUAGUUUGACUGGGGCGGUCUCCUCCUAAAGAGUAACGGAGGAGCACGAAGGUUGGCUAAUCCUGGUCGGACAUCAGGAGGUUAGUGCAAUGGCAUAAGCCAGCUUGACUGCGAGCGUGACGGCGCGAGCAGGUGCGAAAGCAGGUCAUAGUGAUCCGGUGGUUCUGAAUGGAAGGGCCAUCGCUCAACGGAUAAAAGGUACUCCGGGGAUAACAGGCUGAUACCGCCCAAGAGUUCAUAUCGACGGCGGUGUUUGGCACCUCGAUGUCGGCUCAUCACAUCCUGGGGCUGAAGUAGGUCCCAAGGGUAUGGCUGUUCGCCAUUUAAAGUGGUACGCGAGCUGGGUUUAGAACGUCGUGAGACAGUUCGGUCCCUAUCUGCCGUGGGCGCUGGAGAACUGAGGGGGGCUGCUCCUAGUACGAGAGGACCGGAGUGGACGCAUCACUGGUGUUCGGGUUGUCAUGCCAAUGGCACUGCCCGGUAGCUAAAUGCGGAAGAGAUAAGUGCUGAAAGCAUCUAAGCACGAAACUUGCCCCGAGAUGAGUUCUCCCUGACUCCUUGAGAGUCCUGAAGGAACGUUGAAGACGACGACGUUGAUAGGCCGGAUGUGUAAGCGCAGCGAUGCGUUGAGCUAACCGGUACUAAUGAACCGUGAGGCUUAACCUU